AUUAUUUCCUUGACGACGGCUGCAGCUUUGUGCCAGCCGCCAUCUUCUCUCACUCCACGCCCCCCUCUGAUGACGACGGUCGCAGCUCUGUGCGUGCCGUCGUCAUCAUCAUUCUCGCCCCUCCUUUUGACGUCAGCCGCAUGUCUAUGCGAGCUGACGUCUCUCCCACGCCCCCCUCACUGGCGUCAGCCGCAUCCAUUUAGCGUGCUGACGCCAUCCGUUUUCUCCCCCAUUAUGACGCCGGCGGCUACGCAGUGCCUGCUGGCGUCAUACUACAUUUCCCAGAACACCUUCUGGUUUCAUGCCAUCAUGUGAC